rnacentral:rRNA from 1 species
AUUGAACGCUGGCGGCAGGCCUAACACAUGCAAGUCGAGCGAGCGGCGGACGGGUGAGUAAUGUACGGGGAACUGUCCGCAAGAGGGGGAUAACUACUGGAAACGCUGGCUAUUACCGCACACUAGCGGAUGUAUCCACAUGGGAUGAGCUAGUAGGUGGGGUAAAGGCUCCCCAAGGCGACGCUGUCUAGCUGGUCUGAGAGGAUGAUCAGCCACACUGGAACUGGGACACGGCCCAGACUCCUACGGGAGGCAGCAGUGGGGAAUAUUGCACAAUGGGGGCAAGCCUGAUGCAGCCAUGCCGCGUGUAUGAAGAAGGCCUUAGGGUUGUAAAGUACUUUCAGCGGGGAGGCGUUACCCGCAGAAGAAGCACCGGCUAACUCCGUGCCAGCAGCCGCGGUAAUUC